GAAAUGCGAUAAGUAAUGUGAAUUGCAGAAUUCAGUGAAUCAUCGAAUCUUUGAACGCACAUUGCGCCCCCUGGUAUUCCGGGGGGCAUGCCUGUUCGAGCGUCAUUUCACCACUCAAGCCUCGCUUGGUAUUGGGCGACGCGGUCCGCCGCGCGCCUCAAAUCGACCGGCUGGGUCUUUCGUCCCCUCAGCGUUGUGGAAACUAUUCGCUAAAGGGUGCCGCGGGAGGCCACGCCGUAAAACAACCCCAUUUCUAAGGUUGACCUCGGAUCAGGUAGGGAUACCCGCUGAACUUAAGU
rnacentral:misc_RNA from 1 species